AAAAGGUUGUAGGUUAAAGUUAUAAACUUGGGGGUUUCGGUUCUCUAGAUCUUUUUUAAAGUUUCCUUU
rnacentral:tRNA from 1 species